GUGGGAUCACACUUAGACAGCUUAGAGCGCCAGUCCGUUGUGGUUAGGUGGGAUCUCACUUAGACAGCUUAGAGCGCCGGUCUGUUGUGGUUAGGUUAGGUUAGGUUAGCAGAUCGCUGAUAAGUGGGAUCUCACUUGGACAGCUUAGAGCGCCGGUCCGUUGUGGUUAGGUUAGGUUAGCAGAUCGCUGAUAAGUGGGAUCUCACUUAGACAGCUUAGAGCGCCGGUCCGUUGUGGUUAGGUUAG
rnacentral:lncRNA from 1 species